UACGUAGGGGGCAAGCGUUGUCCGGAAUCAUUGGGCGUAAAGCGCGUGUAGGCGGCUCGAUAAGUCUGCUGUGAAAGUCCAAGGCUCAACCUUGGGAUGCCGGUGGAUACUGUCGAGCUCGAGUCCGGAAGAGGAGUGUGGAAUUCCUGGUGUAGCGGUGAAAUGCGCAGAUAUCAGGAGGAACACCGGUGGCGAAGGCGGGAUCCUGGGCCAGUACUGACGCUGAGGAGCGAAAGCGUGGGGAGCAAACAGG
rnacentral:rRNA from 1 species